rnacentral:lncRNA from 1 species
AUUAAACUAUCGGGAAUAUUAAGAAAAAGUUUAUUACUAUCGUGCUAAUGAUGUCGUUUUGGACAAGAACCUCAUAAACGACGGCGCGUAAUGUGCAACUGCAAACAAAAACCGACAGAGAAAAGAAACAACUGAAAAAAAAGGGAUGCUGAAACUGCUGGCGCUGAGGGGUAGUGGGUCUACUGUCACUGACAGAGGAUGAGUGAACAUCGUGUCCUUUGAACAACUUAAAAGUAACAAAAUUAAGCAAAACGCUUCACCCUGAUUGUAAACAUAUCCAUCUUUUUAUCCCCUUGUACUCACUUUUUUCAGGUUUGUUUUGCUUCUGGCUUUUCUGUUGAUGUUCAGACAUAAUUGUUUGUUUUAAUGGACAUGUUUCAACUUUGAAGUUCUUGGUAAUUUUCUUGUG